GGAGGAGGUGAAGACACAGUCGCUGAGUCUGAGGGAGGCCCAGGCCGUGCUGCUGAGGAAGACUCUGUCCCGGGGAGGAAGAGGAGACAAGAUGGCCGCCCUGCUGAUGAAGCACAUCGAGAAGGAGAAGAAGAAAUUCCUGACUGUGACCUCCUCUCCUGACUCCUCAUCUUCAUCUUCAUCUUCAUCAUCGUCCUCAGGAGAAACCAGCGUGAAGACUUUCUACUCUCAGAAGGGACAGUACACCGUCUACGUCACCGCUCCAUCAGCUGAUGGACAGACGGUCUCUGGACGCGUGGAGAGGGUCCAGGUGAUGUUCACGCCCACCGUCUGCAAGGUGCGCUGCAGCCAGGAGCGAUGUGUCAACUUCUGCGAGCGAGGCAACGUGACCACGCUGUACAGCGGCAGCGAGGGGGGGGGAGGAGGAGGAGGAGGAGGAGGAAGGAGAGACAGCUCCCACGGACCGGGCUUCAGAGUCUUCCUCUGUCCUCUGCUCUGUAAGAACGGAGGCGUCUGCCUGCAGAAGGACCGCUGUCUCUGCCCGCACAACUUCAGCGGCAAGUUCUGCCAGAUCCCCGUCGCUACGCCCUCCUCCUCCUCCACCUCCUCCUCCUCCUCCACCUCCACCAAUGAGAUCGUCAAACCCGCGUUGCUCCACAUCAUGGCAGCCAAUCAGGAGCUGACACGUUCUGAGUUCCUCCUGCCGCUGGGACACCACCAGGAGAUGGGGAUGUCUGGAGCUCCUGGCCUGUCCAUGGUAAAGGUCAGAGUUCAGCACCCCCUGAGGCCAGCGUGAACAUCCACCAGGUGCUGAAGGUGUCGGGGUCCGGUCCCACCCUGAGGACGCUCUCCUCGGGGUCGGCGGGCGCUCCGGCUCCGAGAGGUGGGGGGGUCGAGGCCCAGACGGUGAGGGGGCGGGACGGUCACCCAGCAGGCCGGGUUCAGGUACUGCUUCAGAGAGGUCAAAGACAGACAGUGCAGCUCUCCUCUCCCCCGGUCUGCGGAGCAGGGAAAUGUGCUGCAGAGGACUCGGGAAGGCGUGGGGACGACUGACUGUGUCCUCUGUCCGGAUACUACAGGUCAAAGCAACAGCAGCUGUCCUGUUGGGUUUGAGCGAAGCAAUGGAACGCAGUGUGUCGAUGUGAAUGAGUGCCUCCAGCCGGGGCUGUGUGAGAACGGGAUCUGUGUGAACACCAGGGGGAGCUAUAGCUGUGUGUGUCGGGGGGGGUUCCUCCUCGACGCCUCACAUGGAAUCUGCAUCUCCAAGAGUGUGAUAUCCGAGGAGAAGGGUCAGUGCCAACGGGUCCUGGGUUCGGGUCUGGGUCCGUCCUCCUGCUCGCUGCCUAUCCUCAGGAACAUCACCAAGCAGAUCUGCUGCUGCAGCCGGGUGGGCAAAGCCUGGGGACCCGACUGCCAUAGGUGUCCCUACUUUGGUUCAGUGGCCUUUAAGGAGAUCUGUCCGGCCGGUCCUGGUUACCACUACUCCGCUUCAGCGCUGCAGUUCAACCAGAGAGUCACCGAGCAGCUGGGGAGCCGAGGAGCUCCACUGGUGACCCACGGCCAGCAGGAGAGACAGGGUAACCACGGUAACCAGGAGAGACAGGGCAACCACGGUAACCAGGAGAGCCAGGAGAGACACGGUAACCACGGUCCUGGUUCUGGGUCCAGUACCAGCGAAGCCUCCAGGUCUCAGCAGAAACCCUCUUCUCCUGGACAGACAGCUGCUUCAGGUGGAUCAGCUGGUUCCAGCAGUACCAACACCAGAACCAAUCUGCCUCAGCCCCGCCCGGUCGACUCUCCCUCCUCCAGGCCUGUGCAGCCCGGCAGAACCGGCACCACAGUCACCCAGGACAAAGCCCAGACCCAAGGCAGACCCGUGACCCAGCAGAACCGGCCCGACCCCGCCCGGUCGUUCACAACAGAACCACGACCACAGUCUCCGUCCAGUGGGAGUCAAGCCGGCGGCCGGUCCUCCUCCGUGUCCCGGCCCGACCAGCCAGAACCAGGAGUGGACUCUGUCAGCGCUCCGGUCCAGCCGCAGAGCCCCGAGCGUGGGUCGAGGCCCGGCGGAGACCUCCCUCCUCUGCAGAGCAGACCAGCUGUCAGACCGGCUGUCAGCCCGACGACCCCACAGCCCGGAGUCCAGACAGUGCGAGGUGUGUGUGAGAGCAGACCUGGUGUGUGUGGGCGUGGCCGCUGUGUGGAGCAGCCAGGUGGAAAACACACCUGUGUGUGUGAUAAAGGAUAUCAGCCCAACGCCCAGCGCACGUACUGCCAAGACGUGAAUGAGUGUGUGCAGUCUUCAGGUGUGUGUGCAGGGGGAGAGUGUGUGAACACCAUGGGAAGCUUCAGGUGUGUUUGUCCGCCCGGAUACAGGAGCAGCAGCCAGCAGACCAGUUGUCAAGACGUUGAUGAGUGUCUGCAGAAUCCCUGCAGCAACGGUCGCUGUGACAACACGCCGGGCAGCUUCAGGUGUGUCUGUCGCCUUGGUUACAGGCUCAGCGGCAACACCUGCACAGACGUAGAUGAGUGUGAGGAUGCUCUGCAGUGUCCCGGUCAGCAGUGCACCAACAGUCAGGGUUCAUACCGCUGCGUCUCCUGUCGGCCGGGAUUCGGACUGCUCAACGGGCUCUGCACAGACGUGGACGAGUGUCGCCAGACUCCCUGCUCCAACGGGCGCUGUGAAAACACACCUGGAAGCUACCACUGCGUCUGUCGCCAUGGUUACAAGCUGCAGAACAACACCUGCACAGAUGUAGAUGAGUGUGCAGAGCCCUCUCAGUGUCCUGGUCAGAUGUGUGUGAACUCUGUCGGGUCGUACCGCUGUAUGUCGUGUCGACCAGGAUACACACUCACCAACAGACAGUGUGCAGAUGUAAACGAGUGUGAGGACAGGGAGUCUUGUCCCGGUCAGCAGUGUGUGAACACUGACGGAUCCUACAGCUGUGUGGACUGUCAGCAGGGAUACCACAGUGUGAACGGACUGUGUGCAGAUGUGGAUGAGUGUGUGCAGGGCUCUUUCGGUGUCCUGGUCAGCAGUGUGUGAACACUGUGGGAUCGUAAUCAUCAAAUCAUCGCUGUGUGUCCUGUCAGCCUGGAUACAGCGGUCAGGUCACGGUUCCUGUCAAGAUGUUGACGAGUGUGCGAGCGACGGGACGUGCGAGGCAGUGCGUGUGUGCGUGAACACCGUUGGCUCGUUCAGGUGUGACUGUGGACCCGGGUAUCAAACCUCCGGCCUGGGGAGACAGUGCAGAGACAUCAAUGAGUGUUUGGAGGGAGAUUUCUGUUUCCCCAGAGGCGAGUGUGUGAACUCACCCGGAUCCUACACGUGUGUGUGUUCUCAGGGAUUCACACUCAGUGACAACAGAACCGCCUGCAUCGAUGUGGACGAGUGUGUGAAGUCGGGUAUGUGUGUGGACGGCCGCUGUGUGAACACUGAGGGCUCCUUCCAGUGUCAAUGUGAAACCGGCUUCACCACCAACCCAGAGAGGACCACCUGCCUCGACGUUGAUGAGUGCGUCCAGUCCGGCGGCGCCGUGUGCGGGUCACAGCGGUGUGAGAAUACGAUUGGCUCGUUCCGCUGCCUCACUUCCUGUGAGCCGGGUCUCCAGGUGACGCCGACCGGCGGCUGUGUGGACGUUAACGAGUGCUCCAAUGAGACGCUGUGUGGACGUCACGCCUUCUGUCAGAACCUCAUAGGAACCUACCAGUGUGUGUGUGACCAGGGCUUCACCUCCACCGCCGAUGGGAAGGCCUGUGAGGACGAGGACGAGUGUGUGUCUCUGCCCGGAGUGUGCGGUUCUGCUCGUUGUGAGAACGUGGAGGGUUCCUUCAUGUGUGAAUGUGACCGGCAGGGACACGAGUUCGACCCCAGCAGCCGGCAGUGCGUCAGCACGGACCAAAGGGUCCUUCCACCUCAGUAUGGUGGACUUAGCUCCGGUGCUGCCCCCCUCCCCGCCGCUCGUCCAGGUGAGCUGAGGGAGUGCUACUACAACCUGGCCGAGCCGGGAACCUGCAGCCUGCUGGCCACCAACACCACCCAGCAGGAGUGCUGCUGCACGGUGGGGGAGGGGUGGGGGCUGGGCUGCCAGUUCCACAGCUGCCCCCCCACUGACACAGCUGAGUUCCUGUCUCUGUGUCCCAGUGGGAGAGGAUACGUGACUACUGGACCCGGAGCCUUCAGCUACAGAGAUGUGGACGAGUGUAAGCGUUUCCAUCCAGAGGUGUGUAAGAAUGGAGUGUGUGUCAACAACAUCCCCGGAUACAACUGCUACUGCUCCAGUGGAUACGUGUACAACGGCACGCUGCUGGAGUGUGUCGAUCAUGAUGAGUGUGAGGAGGAGAGUUGUGUAGGAGGAGUCUGUGUGAACACGGUGGGUUCUUAUUACUGCAGCUGUCCUCCUCCUCUGGUGCUCGAUGACACGCAACGCAACUGUGUCAACUCCUCCCACCUCACUGUGGAUGAGAACCUGUCUCUCUGCUGGCAGCACGUCACAGCAGACCUGGUGUGUCAGAGUCCUCUGCUGGGAGCUCAGGUGACCUUCAUGGACUGCUGCUGUCUGUACGGGGAGGGCUGGGGCAUGGAGUGUGCCCUCUGCCCCCCCACCGACUCAGAUGACUAUGCCGCUCUGUGCAGUUCCUUCCCUCCUUCUCUGUUUCCGGAGAGUUUUCCAGACUCCGGACCAGAAACUGGAUCCAGAGCAGGACCAGGAGCAGGACGAGGACGAGGAGGAGGAGGAGGAGGAGGAGGCGUAGCUCCUCCGUACUUCCCUCCUUACAGUCCUGACUCCUUCGCUCCUGCGGUGGUUCCUGACUAUGAUGACUACUCUCCAGCAGGGGGCAGCAGGUCGGUGUUCAGAGGGAGGCCGCCCGUCUCCUUCGGCCCGCCGGACGGAGCCUAUCAGAGGCCAGAGUUCAGCACUGGUUUCUACUCUGAAGGAGACUUCUCCCCCCCCGACGGCUCCCCCCAGGGCGUUCCAGGGGCCCGACCUCCUCCCUCGCGUCCCGACGGCGCUCCUCUCAGCCUGGCCCCGCUGCCCGGAGCUCCAUACCAGGUGGAGCAGCAUCAGGAGGAGGAGGAGGCGUGGAGGCCUGGCCCCCCUUCCCCCUACAGUGAGAGGAGCAGAGGAGGAGGAGGAGGAGGAGGAGGAGGAGGAGCACCGAGGAGGGUCUAUGAGAGGCGUUAUGAGUCCUACGCCGGCCUGAGUGCAGCAGAGGAUUGUGGGAUACUCCACGGCUGUGAGAACGGCCGGUGUAUUCGCGUUGCCGAGGGUUACACCUGUGACUGUUACCAAGGAUACGAGCUGGACAUGACCUCCAUGACAUGUACAGACGUAAACGAGUGUGAGGACGGCGUCUCCGUGGAGUUCCCGUGUGUGAACGCUCGCUGUGUGAACACCGACGGCUCGUUCCGCUGCGUCUGCAGGAGAGGAUACGUCAUGUCCCGCAGACCCAACCACUGUGUGGCUGCGUAGACCGGACCGGACUAGACCAGACCAGACCAGACCGGACCCGUACAUACUGGUCCAGACGAUGGAGGCUGGACCACGGGAUGGCAGACUGGGCUAGACCACAUGACACUAAACUGGUUUUACUAUAAAACCAAAUUUGACAAACACUUAAAACUGGGCUAAAAUCCGCCACAUGCACUGAACUGGGAAAAGCUCGACUGGGCACCAGUUACACCAGCUCACUCUCCUAAACACCAACUCAACACACCCUGUUAGCUUCUGAUACAGAUCUCUGAUGUUGCUCUCUGUAGUUUAACGUGUUUUAUAGGUUUACAGGACAGAAUUACUGAGUUUUUCUCCAAAAGUAAAAUACUUCUUGGACCGGGACCAACCAAUAGUUUAAUAAAGUGACUGAACACAUGAACCUCUCGCUGAAAUAUGAAACCCUAGAAUGAAAGUUAUUGUGCACAUUUUUUUCUAUUGCUAAAAAGAUAAAACAUGUAUUUGUGGACACAUCUGAGGGACAGUUUUUAACACAUGGUGUUGGUUUUGUGCCGUCAGUACUAAUCAGUCUCUCUCCAUAUAUAAAUAUAUAUAGAUACAUAGAAACACCAGGUUCACUUUUUACACCAAUGUGUUCCAUUAAACAAAGAUUUAAAGGACUGCAGACCUAAAAAACAGAACACAUUGUCAACCUUUAGAAAUAUGAAUGAAUGUAAAGACAUGUGCUAGCAUUAGCAUGAUAGAGUUAUGCUAACGUGAAGAUGUUUAGCGUUAGCUUCCAAACGUGACUAGCGUCUUUGAUCUUCCUCAUUUAGAAACUACAGUUUGUUAUGAAGUGGAUUAUUAGUCACGAGCCGUCAGAUGAGUUCCUGAAUGUUAGUGAACUUAGAAAACAAUCCCCUGGAAAAUGUAACAAGCAAGCACAGGUUUAUGCUCUUACAGAGAAAUCUGAUUUUAGUUUUCUGUUAGUCUUUCCAACGGCUCGAAGUACUACAAUACCCAUGAUCCUCGGCAGCUAUUUCUAUGUAGAAGAAGCCAGUCAGAGAUGUGAAUUCAGAAUAACAUAAAUUGUUUCAUUUGUAAACAAAAGAAGAAGCCAUCAUUUCUGAAUUAAUAAUUUUUUUUACCCUUUAUUCUAAAUUACUUCGAGCUGCGUUUUCUUCAAACUCUCAUUGGACGUUUCUGUGCCUAAAUGCACCUUGGGAGUUGUAGUUGACUUCUCUUCAGCAGUUUUUAUGCCCACAGAUUUGCAGCUGUGACUAUUUUGUCAAACACAAUCUUUGCUCUGUUGUGCUGACGAGUUCCUCAUCAAUCCAAGACGUACAACACCAUGAGUUCAUUUUUAUUAGUUUUGUUUCAUUCACAAACUUAAUCAAUGAUCAAUGAGACAAACAUAUUCUGCUACCAGGGUUGCUUCUGUGUUUUCUGUGUGUAAAUACAUCAUUUAAACCCCAGUUUAAGUCGUUAAAACACCUCAAAAUAUCCGAAACAACAGCGAGGACGAUGUCGUUCCUCUUUCAACAACAAUGAAUUAAUUAAGAAUGUGUACAUUUAAACACCCUGAGAGAGUUUUAUAAUCAACACUGUGUGAGUUAUUAAUUGACAGCACGAUGAUUUAUCUUCUAUAAACCAAAUGCAGCAAACAGCGGCGAAUGUUUGGGAUGAUUUUCUAUAUUUUUCAUCUCAUGUGCAGGUUCAAACCAAUACACCCAGUACUUCAUGUCUCCAUUAAAACACAUCAAAGAGCCUCACUGGUGCUCAUUCAUCACAUCAACCCUCUGCAGUUUAUUCUGACUUAACCCCACAAACAAAUACUCACUAGAGCACCGAACAGGGAUUAAUCCGCCGCUGAAAAUAGUCCCUAACAAAGUCACAUUUCCUCCAGUUUGUUUGAUUAAAACAGUGGAUUACUAAUGAGAGUUGUUUUUUAUCUGCACAUGAGAUUUGUUAAUAAGAACAAAUAUAGAAUACGUUUACAUUUGAUUGAUUACCUGAUAACUUUUAUAAACACUAAAUGCAUUAAUUAAUCACUGACUUGUCACUACUUUUGUAUUUGUUGGCUCGUGCAGCCAGAACCUACAGCUUUCACUCCUGGAUGUUCUGCAUUCAGUCAUAUUGUGUGUAUAUAAUAAUUCACAUUGCUCCUCAAUACUCCUGUUAUAUUGUUACCUAAAUGAAAGCAGCUGUUUCAGCCUGUAAGAGUGUUUAUUGUGUUUGUAUCUUUAACUUCCUGAUGCCGUCAACAUGCUGAACAUCUGAAGUUUGAUUUAUAACAUGCACUGUAGCUGCCAGAGACCCGCCUCCUGUGUUCACAGGAUGUUUUGUACAUUGUUCCAGUCUCUGGUAUUUUUUUUCUAAAUGUUUUCAUUUUUAUGGUUGAUUCACUUUUGUAUCAUUGUUGUUUGUAUGACAAGAAAUGAAAAUAUAUUUGCACACACUUUUAUUGAAA